rnacentral:rRNA from 1 species
AUUGAACGCUGGCGGCAGGCUUAACACAUGCAAGUCGAGCGGAGAUGAGGUGCUUGCACCUUAUCUUAGCGGCGGACGGGUGAGUAAUGCUUAGGAAUCUGCCUAUUAGUGGGGGACAACAUUCCGAAAGGAGUGCUAAUACCGCAUACGUCCUACGGGAGAAAGCAGGGGAUCUUCGGACCUUGCGCUAAUAGAUGAGCCUAAGUCGGAUUAGCUAGUUGGUGGGGUAAAGGCCUACCAAGGCGACGAUCUGUAGCGGGUCUGAGAGGAUGAUCCGCCACACUGGGACUGGAACACGGCCCAGACUCCUACGGGAGGCAGCAGUGGGGAAUAUUGGACAAUGGGGGGAACCCUGAUCCAGCCAUGCCGCGUGUGUGAAGAAGGCCUUAUGGUUGUAAAGCACUUUAAGCGAGGAGGAGGCUACUGAGACUAAUACUCUUGGAUAGUGGACGUUACUCGCAGAAUAAGCACCGGCUAACUCUGUGCCAGCCGCCGCAGUAA